GGGAAUCGGGGGUUCCUUUCGGCAGAACGUUGUGUGCAUUCGCUGCCUGCCCAGGAGCGAGGCACGCGGGAGAUGUCGGGUGUGGCAGCUGGAGUGCGCCGGGCCUUUCAUUGCUUUGGUGGAAAGCGUGGGGGAGAAACUGGUUGGGGAUGCUGGUGCUGUGAGUGAGUCUGACUUGCAAAAAAACCUGUGAGAUGCCACCUGGAGCUGGACUCUGUGCCCAGGUGGGGGUCCCACACGGUGGAGCACAGGGGCCGAGCCGGCCGGGCUGGGGCAACCUGGCUCUGUUGCAUGGGGCCGUCCCAAGAUAGAAAUUCGGGAAGUGUGGGACUAUUUUUGAAGACCCCAGUGGCCCUACACUCAAGUCAGCCCCCAUCUAGGAGCAGCUGCCAGGCAUAAACACAGCUGUGGAAGGGGGGCUGCCCAGAGCCUCUCUCUGCACCCCAGGGACCCCACAGGCCCCACCAGGCAGCAGCAGGAGCAGUUGGGACCUUUCCUGCCCACCCUUCUGGUUUACCUACGGCCAGUGGAGGUGUCUUGAGUGGGGAGGGAAGAGGCGGUGGAGAAAGCUUGCAGCCUUUGUCCUUGACCUGGCUUUGUGGACCCAGGGGGAAGUUUCCUGAGCGUCAGUUUUUCAUCUGUAAAAUGGGUUGGUAGUAAACCGGCCCCCAGGAAUGUUGAGCUCGGAGGAAGCCUGGGCUGGGAAAGGGCUUGGCUGCCCUCCGCAGAAACCCCACACCUGGGGGAGUGGAGGAGGAGGAGGUCGCAGCUCCUUGAGCCUCCCUCUUCUGCUCUGAGCAGCGGGAGGCCUGCGUAACUGAGCGCCAGACCCAGGGCCUUCUGCAGCUUGACUGAGUCGGGCGGGUGAGGUGUUUGGCCCAGCGCCCCGUGUGGAGUGAUCACCCAGCACAGGAGCCCCUGGGGUGACUGGUUGGCAGGAGGCAGCAGGCCUCCCAGCACCCCCGGGAUGCCCACAGGAAAGCAGGCGCCGGGCCACGUGCCCAGACUCUGCAGGUUUGUGCCUCUCUUUUAUCUGGGCCCUGCAGACUGGCCGGUUUCCGCUGGCCAUAUGGUCCUGUCCUGACGUUUGGGAGUUCAGUGUCCUCAGGCUAGUGAUAUCACGCCCUCCACACUUGUUUCUUCCCCUGUAAAAAGGGACUAACAGCAGUCAUUACCUCAGCACAAUGCCCAGCAGUUAGUUAGCACCUUCAGAGCCCCGUGCCUGGAGGGCUGGGGCCGUCAGGAGUGAUCUGAUUCAGCCUCAGGAGAGGUCAAGGAAGGCUUCUUGGAGGAGGGAGCCACUCAUGGGCACUUUACUAAGGAUGAUUAAGCGUUACUAGGCAGAGAGACCAGUAAGCGAAGCUGUGGAGGGGAGAAGAGAAGCUGCAGGGCGCCUGGGAGAAGCGGGGUGAGCACUGUGGAAGCUGGACCCCGGGGAGGAGAGGAUGCGAGAGAAAUGGGUCCCGCAUAGGUUGGAGGUGGGGCAGGAGGGUGUGGCGGCUGAAGAGCCACUGAAAGGCAGGCAGGAUGCAGGGCAAGGCCGCAGUGUUCUUGGCAUCUGGAAACUGCGAUGCUGCCAGAUGCCCAGGUGGGCGUGGGGUGCAGGGCACACCUUGAAGAAAAGCCUGGAGCUGGGGACACCUCCCCACCCAGGGGGUUGGAGCGGGCAGGGCGGAAGGAAACCAGGAGGGGGUGGCCAGACAGAAGCCUCGGGAGCCACAGCUUCAAAAAAAAGGAAAUGGUCAGCCCAGCUGGUUUCUGGAUCCCCUGCUGGGAUAAUUCAGGGGGAGGCAGGGGGUGUUCUUCCCUUAUCUGGCUGUCCUACCCCCACCCCUACCUCAUGCCAUUCAGAGUGGGCUUUUUUACUUUGCUGCCCCUGAAUAGGCCCUCUGACCCUGCCCUGCUCAGAGCGGCAUAGAGGAAGCUUUUCUCCUCCCUCAAUCUGGACUUUAUACCUUCAUUAAUGUGAUGCUGUCAAACCAGUUCCUCACACUCAACUGGCACGUGCUCAGCUAUCGCCCCUCCCCCUCUAGGGCUCCCAACCCCCUAUUUUGCCUCAGGGUCCCACCGACUUGUGUGUCUGAGGAAGGGUGAAGCCCUUGCCAGGCACGCUCCCAGAGGCCCCCUCUACCUCGUGCUUGGCCCUGCCUCCCUUCCAUAUCUGUCAGUUAUUUAUUGAGCACAUGUUUAUGAAGUGCCUGGACUGGGCAGUGCUGGGAACUAGCUGGGAACAAAAAGAAGCUUCACUGCCCCUUGCCAGAAAACGUCCAUGUUGCGGAUGUUCUCAGAGAAGGGACUUGGGGAUGGAGAUGAGACCUGAAUGAUGAGAAGGAGCCAGACAGGUGGACAUCUAGAGGAGGAGCAUUCUACGCAAAGGGACUGGCACGUGCAAAGGUCCUGGGACAGGACCGGGCCUGGCAAUGUUGGAGGAACAGCAGUAAGGAGGCCUGCAUGGCUGGAGCAGAGUGAGUGGGGCCAGAGGCGGGAUAGAGGGAGGAGGGGCAGACAAAGAGACCGAGGGUCUUAGGGCCCCCCAGACUAGCAGCAGCAGACCUCAGGAGGGUCCUUGCUGGAAGAGUGAGGGGUUGUCGGGCCCUGCUGCUUUGUGGCUUCCAGGGGGGUUGUUUUGGUACUUUGUCCCCUGUGUGCAGCAGUCAUCCCGUGACCUUGAAGGCAAGGAGGCUGCCAGGAGGAAGAAGAGAAAACCACCCCUUUUUCCUGGUGGGCAAGGCUUCUCCACUUCACCCUGCACUUGGUGGGCUCCGCUGGCCUGAGAGACUCCCUCGGCUGGGGGCAGGAAGUAGCCGGGGCGGUGGGGGGGCGCUGAUGGCAGGUUUGGAGGAGGAGGCAGGACAGAGCUGGGUGUUGCAGCAGGAUAUUCUUCCGUGGCAAGAGCUCUAAGGGACGCAGGAAUGGCAGGCAGGGGCCCGGCUGGCUGGGCCUUGGGUUGAGCAGCAGGAACCAAAGCAGAUGUAUUUUGAGGAUGGUUCGGCUAGCCGGCCAACACCAGAUGGAGCAGAAAGGACUCAGCUUUCCCUCCCUGUGCCCCGUGUGGGCAAGGGCCUGGUUGCCUGGGCCUGGACGUCCUUCCCGUCCCCCCGCACCGACCCAGCUGUGCCCCAGACCUCUCCAGCUUCAGAGGCUCUCCUGAGGGGAUGUACACUCAGACCCAAGGACCUAGAUGGGAGUUGCUGCUCAGCCGAGACACUGUGACCACGACUAUACUGUGCAAACUAGGGGAGGGUGCACCUCAGGGCAGCUCCUGCUGGCCCUGACUCAGGCAUGGUAAUGAUCCUGGCAGGUGCGAGGGAGCCCCAGCUGGGCGGGGAGUGGGACUGAGCUACUGGGUGAUGGGGAGGGACCAGGACAGUGACGGGAAGGGGGAGCAGGCAGGUAGCGCUGCACAUGUCUGCCUCUGGGUCUCAUUUCUGUACCUGAGAUGCUGGUUAGAUAGGCACCUCCCUGCCCUCCCCUUUUGCCCUGCAGCCCUCUGUUCCCAUGGGCUUCCUUUCUGUGUCUUGAAGCUACCACCCUGGCACAUACCUCUGGGCCUUUGCAGGGACUGUUCCCUCUGUCCAGAAUGCUGUGUCCCCACAGCUUCUUCUCUUAGCCUUUUCCUCCGACAUUACCUUCGUAGGGAGAGACCCUUCUGACCUGGUAUAUGGUAGGUGCCCAGUAAGUGUUUGUGACGUGGCAGGGUGGUCAGCUGUGAAGACAGGCGGCCUUAGGUCCACAUCCCAACCCUCUACUUCCCACUUUGUGCCCUCGGGCGACUAUGCCUGUUUCUCCAGCUGCGAAACAUGGACAACAGCGGCACAUGGCACUGGACAUCUGUUACAGCUUUCUGGGGGUCUGGCCAGAGACUAGAAGCCAUUGGGGGUACUUUAGACCCUGGACGGGACACUUGAAAUAUUCCCAUGUCUUCCCAGAAUUUUCUAGAAGUGUGUGGAAAGUGAGGGCCAUCAGAACCUCUGAAGAGGUCAUUUUUAUUUUUUAAUCCUCUUCAUGGACUUUGAAUCUUUCCCUUUAGGAUACAAAAAUGAUUUCCAUAGACCAUUUUCCAGGACAAAUGCCAUGACCAGAAGGUAGAUGUUGUUGUCUGUACCAUUUUCCAAAGGGCAAACUUCUAACAGUAAAAUCUGAUUUCUCCUCCACGGCCAAGUGUCAUGUUUUCCUGUGUAAUGAGAGCUCAGGGCGAUCCUGGCCUGCAGCUCAGAUGGCGAUUCUCGGAGAAGGGGUCGGGUCACACCCAGGCACCCACAAGCUUCCCCUCACAUAGUUCUCCCUGGCCGAGUAGCGGUUUGGGAUUUUUGAAGCACAGGCUGUUUUACACACAGGAUUCUCCUGAUUUGGCCGAAGUCCUGAGAUGUAGGCGUGGGGCGUGCUUACUGCACCCCGGGGCCUGUGUGAGCACUGGGAAGAGGGGUGUGCCCAAUGCUGGUCCUAGAUUUAGUGAGGUUGGUCCUGAGGGGUUAGGUUCUCACAGCGUCUUCCCAGGACCCAGCAAGAGUCUUGGCGCUUGAGUUGCCAAAAUUAAAAAAGUCUCUUGUGGUGACUUCUGCGUCGAGACGCGAGCCAGCCAAAGGGCCACAACUGCUCACCUGGGUCCCCCUGUUCCAGCCUGGGACCGAACUCAUGCAGGGCUGGAAUGGGCGUAACCAAGUGAAAUUUUGGAAACGGGUAAGAAGGUCGUGCCUUUAGGACUCUGGGUGAUCCCAGAGAACACAGGUCGUGGGCAGAGGUAUUACAGGUGUAGCCACCAAAUAGUUCUUUGCUAAGAAACAGGCUGAAUCUCUGUCGUUACUGAAGUCAUCUGCAGUCACCGCCCUUGGAGAAUUUUAGCGACAUUACAUUUGUGCUUUGCCAAGGCGUUGGCAUUGCUCUACCCGCAUGUUUGUGACUUGGCGUCCCUGGGGGGGAGGUAAUAUUCAAGCCAGGGCCUGCGUCGUGGCUGGCGCUGGACGCUGGUGGGAUCUGGACCUUGCUGACUGCCCUCCCAGAGCCCCUAUUUGACACAUCCCCGGGCAGCUCCAGGGCAAAAGGAGGGACCACAGGCCGCCUGACCCCCGCCAGCAUGUCCGGAAGGCUUCCUGGAAGCAGCAACAGAAAGCUGCUUACUUGACCGGGUAGGGGAAUGGGGUGGAUAGUGAGUGACUCAGGCCCAAGGCCUGGCAUCCAGGUGUUAGGUGAGGGGACGUUUCUGAGAUUGGAGCAGACCCUGGGAAUCCAGCCCCGGGCUCCGAGCUGAGAACCACAGGGUCUGGGUGGCUGCAGGAAGCCCUCCUGGCGCUCUCGAGUGGGGCAAAGGACAGGCUGGUACUGUGAGAGCCAGCCUGGGGGGGCGAGGGAUGCAUUGGCCUGAGCCCCCAGCCACCCUCCCUCCCGCUGUUUCACCAGCAUCAUCCCGGAGGAGGGGCUGCCCUCGAGGUCAUCGGGAGGAAGUGUUUUGCCUUCUGUUACACAAACGCCUCUGUCCUUAAAGGGCCCAGGGACAGACAGCCUGAGAGCCCCAGCUGGGACCCUCUCCGCCUUGGCCCGAGGGGUUUGCCACCCCAGCCCAAGCCGGAGUGCCACAGGGCUCCCCGCCCUCCUCAGCAGGCAGGCGGAGCUGGGAGGGUGACUCAGGCUCAUACGCAGUGCUGCUGGCCCUAGGCCGCCCAGCAGGAGCCAUCCCCCAAGGUCUGCAGACUCUCAGGUCCACAUGUCAUGCCAAGUCGGGGCGGGGGAAGAGGCAGAGCUUGGGGGUGCUGUUCUCCCCCCGCCCCACAUUGUGGCUCCUCUCAGAAGGCACAUCCUCCAAGUCCCACCCCUGGAAUGUGCCCAGGAGGGCUGUUCUCGUCACCUCCCCACCCUGGGACCAUGGGUCCCCCCAAUUCCUGCCCAAGCAGUAGUUCCCAGAUCAGACUGCUUGCCCUGAAUUCUCUAUCGCCACCCAGUCCUGUCCCAGCCCCUGUCCCCUCCCAGAUGCCAGCCAUUGGUGAUCCCUUGGAACGGCCCUUCCCUAGGCGUGGCAUCCCGGGGACAGCCAUGUGCCCGGAGAGGUCACAGAAUCACCUCCACCGGUGACAGAGGCCCCAGGCUCCCCUGGCUGCUGCUGUGUCUUUAAGGCCCAUGUGACAGACACUUCCCAGGUCCUGGCCGGAACUGAGUGUCACUGUGUGUGUCUUACGGGGUCGCCAUCUGCACGUGACACCGAUGCUGGCUUUCUCCUUUGGGGCAGGCAGAAGAGAAAGUUUCUUUUGAAAAUAAAAAUACAUAAGAGAAAAGGAAGCCUCUUGAAGCAGCCUGGAAGUGCCAAAUAGUAGGUGCCCUUCUGUGGAGGGUUCCUAGUCAUUUGUUUACCAUCCCCACUAGUGGUCAACAUUAAAUUCAAGAUGGAAUGGCUUCGUCGCACCAGCAGCCUUCGCAGCCGCAUCUGCCAUGUGCUCACCUGCAUUUUCCUCUGUGCUUGUUACAGAGUGGCUGGGAAUGUUAAUUCUAGCUAAUGAUUUUGGUAGUAAAAUAGAGUCUCAUGGGCCUAACAUACAAGGGCUAUUGUUAAUGUUUUGGCCCCAGGAAGUUAAAUUAAAAAGGUAGUUUCAUGAUUAAUUUUUGUCCGUGUCAGGGUAUCAGUCAAAAGAUUUUUCUGACCUAUCCUAACACAAAAACAGUUUCAUUAUUUGGCCGUGGAGAACGUUAUAGCAUUUUCCUCCAAUUCCUAGUCUUUGGAAAAACCUCAGGGAUGGUUUUAUGGAAUUCUUUGACUAGCUUAAAGGCUUUGGUUUGAUCCAUAGCUUUUCACACAGAAAAAUCACCAAAAGGCUUUGCCUGGCCCACUUUCUCCUUCCACUCCCUGCAUGAGCUUGACGGACAUGGAGAAGUUUAUAAGGGAUAAGAAUAAUGGCUCACAGAUUGGAAUAACUGAAGUGAAUUCCUUAGUGAGUCCUAGAGGGUCUUUAAGGGCAUUGGGAAAGGUCCUUGGUCCAAGGCGUGUAAGUAACGGAGCAGAUCUGGGCGGCUGGAGGGUCAGGGGAGCCUCUGGGUUGUCAUUACGGAUCAGAAGUUCAGCUAAACGAGGAUGCAUAAGUGGAGAGGAGGGAGGGAAGGCGGAGAAGGGUCAGGAGCUCUGUAUGCAGCCCAGAAGUCUCAGAAAGUCUUUCUAGUUCACAUAGUCUCUAAGAGAGGUCAGCGUGAGUGUUAGAAAGUUUUGAGUCAUUUUCUCAUAAGGCAGCAAACUUAGAGUCCUAGUCCUUGAGCAUCUUGGUGGCCUCCGAACACCAACCGAAAUGUGCUUUCCAUUCAGGUUGCUUGGCUUACCCUUCUGUUUCCAGUUAUGCUCACAAACAAACGGAUCUGGGGAUCUCAGAGUGGCCGCAGUGAUGACCGGUCAUGCUGUGCUUGGUCACAGGGUCCCAAGGAGACAGAAACUGAUAAGAAUUGGACCUGUCAUGUUCCCACAUGGAACUCAGCUGGGGUUCUGGGACAGGGGCCACUCUCAGGAAGGGUUCGAAACCAAAGACCCCUGCGUGCCCAUCAGACAGAAAACUGUAGUUCUCAGUAAUUUGCACAGGUGGACAGAAUCCAGCACCAGAAAGACACCUGAAGAAAACUAGCUUCGAACCUCAGCCUAAGAGAGGAAGGUCCAGAAGCGAGGAGCCUCACCCCCAGAACCCAGGGCCUUCAGGGGAGCCGGGCUCACAGCAGGAACUGUGCCGAAGCCGGGGGAGGCUCCGGGGUCAGGGUAUUUCAGGGUAUUGCUUUGCUUCCGAUCCGUGCCCUUCUGUCACCAUAAACAUGCCAAGCAAGAAAGAAUCGAGGCUGCCAGGCAAAGCCGAAGUUUAUUUGGGGGGUUCAGGAAUUUGAUCCCGGGAGACAUACCAGGAAGAACCCGGGGGAGGGGAGGAAGACACAGGUUAUAAAGGCAAAGGCCACAGCUUCUCACUUAAGUUGUUUGGAAAGAAUUAUGGUUAACAGGCAAUAACUCACAUGGGCCUGUAUAGGAUAGGUUACUAUGUUAGUUGCUACUCUGGGAGUCAGUGAAAUAAGCCCCAUUCUGAGAACUGCAACAAGAUGUGGGCGUUUGUGGCCGACAGUGUCCACAAGUUCGCGCUCCAUCUAGGUGUGGGCGUGCGUAAGACCGACUUCCCCAGUGGCUUCACUGUAGGGCCCCCUGGUGUUCCUGACCCCGUUUCAGAUGUUGCUGUUCACAUUUUCCCCUUUUGGUUGAGACCUUUUCUGUGGAAAGACCAACUGUUUAGGGUUAGAGUUGUCAGAAAUGUUUGGUGCCUUCUCACCAGGAAAGCUCAUUCUGGGGGUGUCAAAUCCUCUGUCAUGGGGGAAAGGGUGUCAUUUGAGUAGGAGUACUGUUCAUCGGGCCGCAGCCACAUGUGAGCAACGGGGAUUCUGCGGGGUGGACAGAGGUGUCUUCAAUGAGGAUCUCAGCGGAAGCGAGCUGACGUUCAUUCAAAAUGGAAAGCGUGGUCCGUCACCCCUAGUCUUUGGGCAGUCCCCUGAGUCCCGACAGAAGACGUGAGGCAUUGGGUUAAGGGAAGCAUCAGCAGGUUGACAGUGCUGACUCUA